rnacentral:rRNA from 1 species
CCUACGGGAGGCAGCAGUGGGGGAUAUUGCACAAUGGGGGAAACCCUGAUGCAGCAACGCCGCGUGGGUGAAGAAGGCCCUCGGGUUGUAAAGCUCUGUCAGCAGGGACGAAAAUGACGGUACCUGAAGAGGAAGCCCCGGCUAACUACGUGCCAGCAGCCGCGGUAAUACGUAGGGGGCGAGCGUUAUCCGGAUUUACUGGGUGUAAAGGGGGCGUAGGCGGCGAUGCAAGCCAGGUGUGAAAGCCCCGGGCUCAACCUCGGGGCUGCAUUUGAAACUGGAUGGCUGGAGUGCAGGAGAGGCAGACGGAAUUCCUGGUGUAGCGGUGAAAUGCGUAGAUAUUAGGAGGAACACCAGUGGCGAAGGCGGUCUGCUGGACUGUAACUGACGCUGAGGCUCGAAAGCGUGGGGAGCAAACAGGAUUAGAUACCCCUGUAGUC